rnacentral:lncRNA from 1 species
GGAACCCUGUCUCUACUAAAAAUACAAAAAAUCAGCCAGGCAUGGUGGCUUGCGCCUGUAGUCCCAGCUACUCGGGAGGCUGUGACACAAGAAUUGCUUGAACCCAGGAGGCGGAGGUUGUAGUGAGCCGAGAUCACGUCACUGUACUCCAGCCUGGGUGACAGAGCAAAACUCCGUCUCAAAAAAAAAAAAAAAAAAGAAAAAGAAAAUUUAUUUAAAUUUUAAAAAGUAGAUGUAAUGGAAAUGCAUCUCUUAGUGAGAUGAAUGGGAUGUUACAGUGGUUUAAAGGAGAUUUUGCUGAUCCCAGUAUUUCAAAUUAUUCCUUUAUUUAUUGCUCUGGUAGUAUUUAGAUCUUAGGUCUUGGCUUAGUAAGAUUCAGGAUGGGUGACAGAUAUAUAUUUAUUUCACAAAGUGGAAGGACAAUUGUAAAAGUGGAGGAUAGAAAAAAAGAACCCUUGUGAUGGGUAGGUCUCAGGUGUGUUCUCUGGCUUGGGAAAGAGUGCCUGUGGAAAUUGAAGCACUGGAAAUUUACUCUUUUAAAACUGUUGGUGCCCAUGUACUCACUCCUUGAAAUGUCUUUGUAAUAUGCCCUAACGGUAGGUGUACCUCAGUCUAAAGACUUCUGAUAUAUAUCAUCUUGAGAAGUUCAGCUGUGAAAGAGAACAGAGCAGGAGUAGUUGGAGAGGAUAUGAAGUCUAGAAAAGCUUCCUUCAGAAGCUUAAGUACAUUUAAAUGUCAAGGGGAAGGCCAUUGUUGAGGGGAGGAAGGAAGGGAGACCCCAUGUGGACUUCAGAUUUAGCCUCAGAGUUUUGAACAUGGUUUAGAGAAAGCUCUAUAUAGGGGUUAUAUGCACAGCUCAGUUUAUAAUAAAAUGUACUUUGUGUCCCAUUUACAAUGUUAACAUUAUAACAUUAUCAUUAUUAUGGUCACUGCCUUGCAUACUUUGUCAACUCCCUUGCCCCACUCUCACUGUUGCUUCCUUACACAGUCUUGACUAAGCCACAGCCCUUUUUUGUUUGUUUGUUUGAGAUGGAGUCUCACUCUGCCGCCCAGGCUGCAGUGCAGUGGCGGGAUCUCGGCUCACU